UCCCUUCUUCUUCUACAUUGUGUUUGCUUGUCUUAAAAAAACAGCAGAAACAAGUAAGGAAGAGAAGAAGACGCUUGUAAGAACUCCAAGGAAGGUAGAGAGAUCUGCACACGUAUUCAUUCGAGAUCUCCGAUUCAUUCCCAUACGAUCCCUCGUCAGCGGUUGCACAAGCUCCUGAGGCCAUGAGCUAGCACCAACUCUAAGCUAGCUUGGAGAAAGUAGUCUUCUCUUUUUUGGAGAUGUGCAUGACAAGAGAGAAUCUAGAUUCACGUCUCGGAAGCCUGCUUCGGUGAUUAUUUCUAAGCCGGAGGAGGUGGCGGAGCGGUUGAAACUGAGCGUAAGGAAGAGGAAAGCGGGGUUUGUUUAAACUGGAACGUGAGAACAUGGCCGGGUCAAAGAAAUAGGGGACAACGGAUUGGACCGGGCGGUCGCAGCCUCCUAUCUAAGCAGGAGUUGUGUCGAUGGAUGACGAGAUAUUUCAAGUGACGCCGACGUUUCAUAUGGUGGAACUGAAGAAAUGUAAUGGAGAUAGUGUGGGUUUGGCAGAGUGACAAAGAUGAGCGAGCCGUUAAUGCCUGCUUCACAACAACAGGAAGAAGAAGACGCAUUGUAGUUUUUGAGAUUUUUUUUGUAAUCAAGUUUUGAAUUUUGUUAAGUCUGAUGGUAAAACGUAUAUGAGAGUUUUUUAUAUUUUCGUUUGUGAAAAAGAAAGGUAACAACAUCCUGCCAUAUAA